CCUACGGGAGGCAGCAGUGGGGAAUUGUUCACAAUGGGCGCAAGCCUGAUGACGCAACGCCGCGUGGGGGAUGAAGGUCUUCGGAUCGUAAACCCCUGUCGAAUGGGACGAAUAGCUUUCGGGUUAAUACCCCGGAGGAAUGACGGUACCGUUAAAGGAAGCCACGGCUAACUCUGUGCCAGCAGCCGCGGUAAUACAGAGGUGGCAAGCGUUGUUCGGAAUUACUGGGCGUAAAGGGCGCGUAGGCGGCCAUCUAAGUCAGACGUGAAAUCCCCCGGCUCAACCUGGGAACUGCGUCUGAUACUGGAAGGCUAGAGUUUGGGAGAGGGAUGUAGAAUUCCAGGUGUAGCGGUGAAAUGCGUAGAUAUCUGGAGGAAUACCGGUGGCGAAGGCGGCAUCCUGGACCAAUACUGACGCUGAGGCGCGAAAGCUAGGGGANCAAACGGGGAUUAGAUACCCCGGUAGUCCUAGCCCUAAACGAUGAAUACUUGGUGUGGCGGUAUCGAUCCCUGCCGUGCCGAAGCUAACGCAUUAAGUNUUCCGCGUGGGGAGUACGUCGCGAGCGNGUAACGUACGAAUUAGAGUAGUUACGGCGUGAGACGNGCCGACGGACGACGACGAGGGAGGAGG
rnacentral:rRNA from 1 species